UACGGAGGGUGCGAGCGUUGUCCGGAAUCACUGGGCGUAAAGGGCGCGUAGGUGGCCUGUGGAAGUCUGCGGUGAAAGCCCGGCGCUCAACGGCCGGGUCGGCCGUGGAUACUCUCGGGCUCGAGCUUACUAGAGGCAGAUGGAAUUCCGGGUGUAGCGGUGGAAUGCGUAGAGAUCCGGAAGAACACCGGUGGCGAAGGCGGUCUGCUGGGGUAAUGCUGACACUGAUGCGCGACAGCGUGGGGAGCAAACAGG
rnacentral:rRNA from 1 species